rnacentral:misc_RNA from 1 species
AUGUAAUUAUCAAUACAAUUUCAUCUAUAAAAAAGCAUAACCACACAAAGUGAAAUUCACCAAAAUCAAUAAACUUAGAGAGAGAGAGAGUAUUAAAAACUUGAAGUAGUUGAAAAAUGGCUGGUGAGAAGGAAACAACUAAAGUGGCAAUUGAUAAGUAUAGGCGGUUCCUCCAUGAAGAUCAUGUUGCAGCUGCAGAAACUAUAGAGUGGAAACAUGGUAGCCCUCCAAUUUAUGACAGUGUUAAUAAUGUCUUUGAACAAGGAAGAACCAAGGUAUGGCCAAAAGGAUCUCUUGAAGAAACAACACAAAAUUCUAUAAAGACGUGGGAAAUGGAGAUUAAAUACAAGACUUGCGUAAACGACAUUAGGACCAUUAAUCUUGAAAAAUUUAAGCUCUUUGUUAAUGGAAGAGAAGGACUGUCAGCAGAAGAGACACUAAAAGUUGGAUGUUACAAUGCGCUAUUGAAGAAUUCAAUGCCGAAUGAAUUCAAAUACCACAAAGAAGACGAAGAGACCUUUGAAUCGUCUCACAAUGCUUUUUGGUCAGCUUUUCCAAGAGGAUUCGCGUGGGAAGUGAUCAACGUGUAUACUGGCCCUCCCGUUGUGACAUACAAAUUCAGGCAUUGGGGUUUCUUUGAAGGACCAUUUAAAGGACAUGCACCUACUGGUGAGAUGAUACAGUUCUACGGCAUUGGCAUUAUGAAGGUAGAUAAAUAUCUAAGAAUGGAGGAAUUAGAGUUAUACUAUGAUCCAGCAGAACUUUUUGGUGGACUACUCAAGGGACCAAAAAUAUCUGAAUCAAACAUUGAGCAAGGUCAGGAUGAUAAUACCACCACUCAACAGUGCCCAUUAUUCAACCACAGCUAAUUAUGUCAAAUUUCACUUCUUCAAUAAAAUUUUGGUACUUCACAAAUAAUAUUGUUUUAAUAAAGUGUAUGCAACUCUAUUUCCAAAUAGUCAUGUUAUAAUAAAGUGUAUGCAACUCUAUUUCCAAAUAGUCAUGUUA